rnacentral:rRNA from 1 species
AGCAGCCGCGGUAAUUCCAGCUCCAAUAGCGUAUAUUAAAGUUGUUGCAGUUAAAAAGCUCGUAGUUGAAUUUCGGGAUUGGCGCAUCGGUCGUGCCUUACGGGGUAUGAACUGGUGCAGUCAAUUUCUCACCUUCUGGAGAACCGCGAUGUCCUUAAUUGGGUGCCGCGGGGAACCAGGGACCUUUACUUUGAAAAAAUUAGAGUGUUUAAAGCAGGCAUUUUUGCUUGAAUACAUUAGCAUGGAAUAAUAAAAUAGGACGGCAUGGUUCUAUUUUGUGGUUUCUAGGACCACCGUAAUGAUUAAUAGGGAUAGUUGGGGGCAUUAGUAUUCAAUUGUCAGAGGUGAAAUUCUUGGAUUUAUUGAAGACUAACUACUGCGAAAGCAUUUGCCAAGGAUGUUUUCAUUAAUCAAGAACGAAAGUUAGGGGAUCGAAGACGAUCAGAUACCGUCGUAGUCUUAACCAUAAACUAUAGCCGACUAGGAAUCCAGACGAUGUUAAUUUUUAAUGUACUUCGUU